rnacentral:rRNA from 1 species
UACGAUACGAGUUUGAUCAUGGCUCAGGAUGAACGCUAGCGGCAGGCCUAACACAUGCAAGUCGAGGGGCAGCGCGGGUAGCAAUACCUGGCGGCGACCGGCGCACGGGUGAGUAACGCGUAUGCAACCUGCCCGCCACAGGGGGAUAGCCCGCCGAAAGGCGGAUUAAUACCCCAUCGCCCCACGUUCCGGCAUCGGGAUGUGGGUAAAGGAGCGAUCCGGUGGCGGAUGGGCAUGCGUGCCAUUAGCUAGUUGGCGGGGUAACGGCCCACCAAGGCGACGAUGGCUAGGGGGUCUGAGAGGAUGGUCCCCCACACUGGUACUGAGACACGGACCAGACUCCUACGGGAGGCAGCAGUGAGGAAUAUUGGUCAAUGGGCGGAAGCCUGAACCAGCCAUGCCGCGUGCAGGAAGACGGCCCUACGGGUUGUAAACUGCUUUUCCGGGGGAAGAAUAAUCCCGACGUGUCGGGAGAUGCCGGUACCCCGGGAAUAAGGAUCGGCUAACUCCGUG